ensembl:snoRNA SNORA52 small nucleolar RNA, H/ACA box 52
GGGUCCAUCCUAAUCUCUGCUGGCCAGCCUGGUUUCGCUUGUGGACCAGAGCACAAUGGAAGCCUCACCCUAGCCUGUGAGCAAGGCUUCUGUGUGCUCAGGCUAUGGACACAUCUAUGUGACU